rnacentral:rRNA from 1 species
AUUGAACGCUGGCGGCAGGCCUAACACAUGCAAGUCGAGCGAGCGGCGGACGGGUGAGUAAUGUCUGUGAAACUGCCUGCUGGAGGGGGGUAACUACUGGAAACGGUAGCUAAUACCGCAUACCCUCAGAUAUGCCCAGAUGGGAUUAGCGAGUAGGUGGGGUACCGGCUCACCUCGGCGACGCUCCCUAUCUCGUCUGAGAGGAGGACCAGCCACACUGGAACUGAGACACGGUCCAGACUCUUACGGGAGGCAGCAGGGGGGAAUAUUGCACAAUGGGCGCAAGCCUGCUGCAGCCAGGCCGCGUGUGUGAAGAAGGCCUUCGGGUUGUAAAGCACUUUCAGCGGGGAGGCGUUACCCGCAGAAGAAGCACCGGCUAACUCCGUGCCAGCAGCCGCGGUAAUUC